rnacentral:lncRNA from 1 species
GCAUGCACAUUUGGGGCAGAAUAAUAUACACACAUAUGGUUCAGAGGAUCAGCUGGGAUCUCAGGUGAGGGUCUGGUGACCCUUCCCAACCCCUCCUUCUCUGAGGGAAUGAAUGUCAGCAACCAGUAGGCCUGCCUCAGAUGGUCAUUUGCAUGGGGGAGGGAAUAGCUGAUCUGAUGAAGAUGCUGGUUGCUGUCCUCACGAUGCCCAGAGUCCUUCCUUCCACAGCACUGGAUGGGUGCUGAGCUCAGGACAGGAGGCUUGCAGGACCUCCUGGAUCCCCUCUAAGCCCAGAAGAUGCAGUCCAGGAGAGAACAAAGGGUGAGCAGGGUGUGGUGGCACAGGUCUUUAAUCGCAGAGGCAGAGGCAGAGGCAGAGGCAGAGGCAGAGGCAGAGGCAGAGGCAGAGGCAGAGGCAGAGGCAGAGGCAGAGGCAGAGGCAGAGGCAGAGGCAGAGGCAGAGGCAGAGGCAGAUCCCUGUGAGUUUGAGGCCAGCCUGGUUUAUGAGCCAGUUCCAGGACAGCCAGGUCUGUUACACAGAGAAACCCUGUCUCAUAAAACAAACAAACGAACAAAGGGUCCUCCUACCCCAUCUCAGUAGCUAGCCUGUCGCCCUGCCUCCGGCGUCCUGCCCUGUCCCGUCCCAGGAGCCCUCAUCUUCUGGGCUGUGGUUUCCCUCCUGUUUCAGCUCAGGGGGUUCUCUAGCACAAGCCAGGGCCAUCUCAGGGGGGCUUUUAAGGGCUCAGAGAAGGUGCUGAUCUUUCUUUACCACUCUCAGUGACUCAGGCCUAGAGCAGGGAGAAAGCAGCCAUUCUGGGGGCUGUGGAAUCGUGAGGGGUGAAUGUGGAAGAAUGGGAAGGUAAAGCGAGGCCUCACGUUUUCUCUCUUCAGAGGAGAGAUCUUCUUAUCACACAUUGAUGGGGGCUGGGUUAUGACGGGAGGCAGAGCACCGUAGGCCUCCCUCUUCACAGGCUCAUCAAGUUCUUGUUUCCUCCCCACCGGAGUGUCAGGGAGAAUCGACUGUCAAUAUUGUGGGUGAAGUUUGGGGGCCUGAGCCCUUGAGGACCUGGGCUCCCAGCAAUCCUGGCUUUGCCAUUUGCUCUCUGUGGGUAGGAUUCAGACUAGGGCCCAGCGUUGCUUUAUGCCUCAGUUUCUCCAGUUGUACCGGGAGGUAAAAUGCUUGUUCGGCCCAUGCUCAUUUGUCUCUCAGAGCCACAGUGCACCAUGGGAAUGGGGUGAUCCGUAGCUCCAUUCACAGAUGGGAAAAGGAGGCCGAGAGGUGGGUCAGGAGAGCCUGGGCCUGGGGGUCAAUCCCGGGCCGGAAGCUCUGGCUCUGAGAAUGUGGCCAAGCAGCUUGAGAAGAGGCUCCAGGGGGCCACUGGGCAGCAGAACCCAGCCUUUUCACAUCUCUAAUUUUCUUUAGUCUACCCUCCAGUCCCUCAUUGCCUGGGGUUCACAACUCCAUCCCAGCUGAGGCUGGUCCCUUCCCCCCACUUCCCAAUUAUGGUUGUUCACAAAAGCUGAACCAUGACCAGACAAAGGGACAGGGAUGAAAGUGUUGGUUGUCAUGGCAACCUGGUAGGGUUGCUGGGACCCAGGGGAGGGGCCUGGCUGUGUGCCUGAGCCCAUGCAUCCCAAGGAUCUCUGAGCAUGAGCCAGGGUGGCCCAGGGGCUCACAGGAAUUCCCCUUCUGCUCUGAGCCCACCAGAGCUGGCUAUACAAUGAUAACUUCACCCCCCUCGCCCCCCAUGGGCAGCACCUGCUCCCUGGGUCUCCCCUGGUGGCCCUAUUAUCCCGCACCUGCUGCUUCCCCACCUGCUCCCUAUUCUUAGCCCCCUCCCCAUAGCACACCCUGUUCAUCACUAGGCCCAGCUGCCUGCUCUGACAGCCAGCCAGGAAGGGGUAAUAGAACCAGGAGAGGUAGCAUGGAGGGCCCAAGGACAGAGGGUCCAGAGGCCAGUCCAGCUCUGUUUGACUAGUAGUGUGUAUGCUUACAAUGGACUCCAUCUCAGGGCCUCAGUCUCCCCACCUGUGAAGUAGGAACCGCAAGCCCUGACCUCAACUUUCUACAAAAACUUUACUGCUUGGAAGAUCUUAGGCCAUCGUGUUUCAAGAUCUGAGUUACAGAGGACAACCAGGUUGGGGAGAGGAGGGAGGUGAUGUGCCUUCGGCUGUAUUCCCAGGGCUAUGUCUGUUAGACUACAAGGAGGCCAGGGCAUUUCUCUGAUUACUGAAGAAUCCUUUGUGGGCUAUUUAAGUAAGGUGUGGACCCAGCCUGGGUGCCAGGCAACAGGUAGAUGAAUAAGGAAACUGUGAUUAUACAACAUGGAGGCUUAUCCUACCGCAAGAAUCAGUGCUGUGUGCAGGAAAAGAAAUGGGGCUGCAAAGCCUUGUGUUACAUCAAAGAAGCCAGAUGCAGAAAGACAGAAGCCACGAUCUCUCCCACGUAGGAUCUAUAUCUAUAUCUAUAUCUAUAUCUAUAUCUAUAUCUAUAUCUAUAUCUAUAUCUAUAUCUAUAUCUAUCUAUAAAGAGUAGAAAGGGGACUUAUGUGGGGAGGAAGGUAUCUAAGGGGGAGGGAACAAGAGAGGAUGACAGGGGGAGUUUAAAAGACAUCACGUGUUUUUAUGUAUAAGGCUUAGAUUUUAAAAGUGCAUGUCAAAAAGGUAUCUCACAUGGAAUCAAAACUACUUACAGGAAAGAAGUGGACCAUGAGGACAAAGAGCGGGACAAGGGAGGGUGACGCAACCUUCACGUGCAUGAAGAUGCUAAUGGUUCAUAUUUUAUAUCCUGAAGAAAGAAAUCAAAAGAACUAAAACAAUCCCC